GAGAGGGUAGGGCUCGAGGGGAAAUCUCCACCGUGUCCCGAGCCCUCGAGGCAGGAUGAUUGGUUUCUCAAAGUGGCUCACGCUGGUUCUCAGCACCCCACCCCGGUGCCUUUCUUCCCAGAAGUGUAUGACAAGCUCACCAGGUCAUGGAUGGCACCUUUUACUGCCAAAAAAAUGGCUGGUGGGCUCCUCCUUCCUCACCACCCUCGAUGGAGGUGCAGCGAAGGGGUAUUCGGUGAUUCCCCCAGUGGAGCCGGCAGUAGCAAUGCAAUUGUGUCCUAAGUCUGCCUCCUGCCAGUGCUUCCUUCCCAGGCCUAUAGGCAUUCAUCUGGUCUAACCGGCAGUGCCUAUAUGGCUUGCGGGGAAGCUGCUUCCGCCUUACACGCUAUGGCGUUACCGCAGGUGCACCAGGCCAAGGCACUGAAGGACCUGCACGAGGGUGGUCAUGAUCCAGAAGUUCUGAAAGAACACAGCGACCGUUGCGUACAUCAACUGACAAAGUGGUCUGCGCUCCCGUCGCAUGUCGCAACUCACCCGCCAACUCGUCCUUUAAAGUCAGAAGGUUCUGAGGUCACUUCGUGCUGUUCACAUUCCGGGCCUGCUCAACCGUACAGCCGACAAGCUGUCUCGAGCAAUGCUCCCGGGAGAAUGGCGACUCCAUCCCCUGACAGUCCAGCUGAUUUGGAGACGGUUCGGAGCCACUCAGGUAGACCUGUUUGCUUCUCCAGAGACCUCUCCCUGCUAGUUGUUCUACUCCCUGACCGAGGGGACACUUGGCAUGGAUGCACUGGCACACAGCUUGCCGCAGGGCCUACGCAAAUAUGCGUUUCCCCAGUUAACCUUUCUAGCACAGACAGUGUGCAAAGUCCGGGAGGACGACAAGCAAGUCUUGCUAGUGGUGCCGUAUUGGCCAACUCGGACCUGGUUCCCGGAACUAGUGCUCCUCGCGACAGCCCCUCCUUGGCCGAUUCCUCUGAGGAGGGAUCUACUGACUCAGAGACGGGGCACCAUUUGGCACCCGUGUCCAGACCUUUGGAAACUCCAUGUCUGUUCCCUGGACGGGAUGCGGAGGUUCUAGGUGACCUACUCCAGGAGGUAGUGAACACCAUCACUUCGGCAAGAGCACCAUCUAUGAGACACGCUUACGCCUUGAAGUGGAACCUGUUCGUCGAGUGGUAUUCUUCUCGCCGAGAGGACACCCGAAGAUGCCCGAUUGCAGUUGUGCUUUCCUUUCUGCAGCAAGGGCUGGAGCGAAN
ensembl:lncRNA